AACGAACGCUGGCGGCAGGCUUAACACAUGCGAGUCGAGCGCCCCGCCAGGGGAGCGGCAGCCGGGUGAGUACCGCGUGGGAACGUACCUUUUGGUUCGGAACAACUCCGGGAAACUGGAGCUAAUACCGGAUAAGCCCUAACGGGGAAAGAUUUAUCGCCGAAAGAUCGGCCCGCGUCUGAUUAGCUAGUUGGUGAGGUAACGGCUCACCAAGGCGACGAUCAGUAGCUGGUCUGAGAGGAUGAUCAGCCACACUGGGACUGAGACACGGCCCAGACUCCUACGGGAGGCAGCAGUGGGGAAUAUUGGACAAUGGGCGCAAGCCUGAUCCAGCCAUGCCGCGUGAGUGAUGAAGGCCUUAGGGUUGUAAAGCUCUUUUGUCCGGGAAGAUAAUGACUGUACCGGAAGAAUAAGCCCCGGCUAACUUCGUG
rnacentral:rRNA from 1 species